CCCGCCGGCGACCGGCGCACGGGUGAGUAACACGUAUGCAACCUGGCCGUCACAGGUGGAUAACCGGAAGAAAUUCCGACUAAUACAGCAUAACACUCCUGAGGGACAUCCCUUGGGAGUCAAAGGAGGCAACUCCGGUGACGGAUGGGCAUGCGGCGCAUUAGGUAGUUGGUAGGGUAACGGCCUACCAAGCCGACGAUGCGUAGGGGUUCUGAGAGGAAGGUCCCCCACAUUGGAACUGAGACACGGUCCAAACUCCUACGGAAGGCAGCAG
rnacentral:rRNA from 1 species